rnacentral:rRNA from 1 species
UACGUAGGGGGCAAGCGUUGUCCGGAAUCAUUGGGCGUAAAGCGCGUGUAGGCGGCCCGGUAAGUCCGCUGUGAAAGUCGGGGGCUCAACCCUCGAAUGCCGGUGGAUACUGUCGGGCUAGAGUGCGGGAGAGGCGAGUGGAAUUCCUGGUGUAGCGGUGAAAUGCGCAGAUAUCAGGAGGAACACCGGUGGCGAAGGCGGCUUUCUGGGCCUUACCUGACGCUGAGGAGCGAAAGCUGGGGGAGCGAACAGG